GCUGUCACAAAGUUUCAUUCUUCAGAGCGCCGCCUUGUCAGCAGAAGCACUCUGUAAAAAUGAGGAUCUGUCAGACGUCAGUGGGGCAGAUGUCACGUGUGGAGAAGACAGUGGGGCAACGCUUUAUUCUUGUGUUGAGGUGACAGGGUCCGCGGGAGUCCUCAGAUCCAGCUCCAGGCUCUCAAGGCUCAGUGAGAACCAUCCACACAUGGACACGGCUGCAGAAGUCUCCGCAACACCAGUGCUGGAGGAGGCGCAAGAGGAGAAAGAGAAGACAGCAUGAUGAGGUUCCGCCUGUGCGCAUGGUGUUUUCACUGAUGUCAGGCAGUUGCAGAAUAUGUGACAGCCUGACGGUGUUCCUGCUGUGGAAUCAGAGCGUGGGUGAGUCUAGCAUAAAAAAACCUUUUUACUAGGGCUGGGUAUCGUCACUGAUUUCUAGAAUCGAUUCAAUUCCGAUUCACAAGGUCCCAAAUCGAUUUGAUCCACGAU